rnacentral:lncRNA from 1 species
UUUUUUUUUUUUUGAGAUGGAGUCUCGCUGUGUCGCCCAGGCUGGAGUGCAGUGGCCGGAUCUCAGCUCACUGCAAGCUCCGCCCCCGGUAGCUGGGACUACAGGCUCACCACCUCGCCUAGUUUUUGUAUUUUUAGUAGAAACGGGUUUCACCGUGUUAGCCAGGAUGGUCUCGAUCUCCUGAUCUCGUGAUCCGCCUGCCUUGGCCUCCCAAAGUGCUGGGAUUACAGGCUUGAGCCACCGCCGGCCUCAAAAUUCUUAAUCACAUUUACAAAGUCCUUUUUCCCAAAUAAGGCAACACUCACAGUUUCUGGGAAUUAGGAUGAGAUUAGGGGCCAUUAACGAGAUUACUCAGGUAGUAAUUUGUGAGUAAAAUUAUUAUAGAGAGGCAAAUUAUUUAUAUCCUAUAAUUUGCAGAGCAAUGUUGUUUACUGUGACCUUGGCAUGUAUUUUUACAUUAAAAUGCUUUGAGGAUUUAUACUACAUAUUGAUGGCUUUUGAUUCUUUUAUAUUCAAGACUAUGCACAUUUGGGGCUGUGUUUUCUAGAAACAUACACAGUAACAGAGUAUCUGAGCAGAACUUAGAAAUACUGUAUUACUAUGAGAAAGUACACUUCGUUAAUCUAACACACAUUAUGAUUUAUAUUUGUCUCACAAGUUGAUAUGCCUUCUCAGAUUUUUUCAGCUGUUUCCUUCUUUCUCUUUCUAAGUCGGUGCUCUACCUGGACUGGGUCAACUUGCCUCUUUAGGACUAGAAGAAACACCAUGUUGCAAGGCAUGGUAUACAAAUACAACUGACUGCUACAUGUUGAUUUUAUAUCCUGCAACUUUGCUGAAUUGGUUUAUUAGCGCACGCACUCUCUCUCUCUCUCUCUCUGAGUGUGUGUGUGUGUGUGUGUGUGUGUGUGUGUGUGUGUAAUCCUUAGGGUUUUCUGCAUAUAUGAUCAUGCUGUCUGCUAACAAAGAUAAUUUUACUUCUUCCUUUCCAUUUUAUUUUCCUUGCCUAGUUCUCUGGCUAGAACUUCCAAUACUAAGUUGAACACAUGUGGUGAGUAGGUAUCUUUGUCUUGUUUC